AAACACAGGGAAGAAGACGAAAAACACAUCAACAAGGAAAUACCGGUGUCUUAUCAGAACUGAUAAUUUAUUAAAGGACUCUGCAGCUUUUAGACUCACUUCGACUUCUCAUUAAUAUUUAUUGUGUGGUAGAUGUAGAUGCGUUUGCAGUAAGUGUACCCACACGGUCUGAGGCACUUUAGCUUUCAUGCUGUAAAAACUACAACACGUGGAUUCAGUGCGUGUUUACUUAUUACACAGCCAUUGGCUUUAACGAGGAAUUCAGAGCAUGGAGUACCUACCCGAUGACAACUCCAGGUACAAAGACGUUGACUACUGGGAUGAAAGAUACAAGACAGAGCAGAGUUAUGAUUGGUUGGGCAGAUUCUCCAAAUUCCAGCACCUUCUGGAAAAGCACGUCCAGAAAGAAGACUCUAUUCUGAUACUUGGGUGUGGAAACAGCAGUAUGAGCGGCGACAUGUACAGUGCCGGCUACCACUCCAUCACCAACAUAGACUACUCCUCUGUGUGCAUCAGUGCAAUGAGUGCCAGGUACAGCGAUUGCCCGCGUAUGACCUGGCAUGAGAUGGACGUGCGACAGCUAUCCUUCCCCAAUGCGUCCUUCGAUGUCAUCCUAGAGAAGGCCACACUGGACGCCAUCAUGGUGGAAGAGAAGACACCUUGGGAGGUGUCCCCUCACACUGCCUGUUUCAUUCACCAAGCACUCACAGAGAUCAGUCGCUGCCUGAAGCCUGGAGGACGGUUUGUCUCCGUAACCUUCGCCCAACCCUUCUUCAGGAAACGCCUCUAUGCUCGCACAGAGUACAACUGGUCAAUUAGGAAGUACAGCUAUGGAGAAGGCUUUCAAUAUUUUGUGUAUGUAAUGACCAAAGGAGAGGAGCUUAGCCCAGAAGAUGCAGCUCUGGAGAAAAAGCUACUGGAGGACACCAAAUCCCCACCUACCAGGGUCGCCACAACACAAGAUGAUGAUGAUGAGGAAGACUUCCUGUCUAAUAUUGAUUUAAUUUAAUAGUUAACUGGAUUAUCUGAAGGAAUCUUAGGAAUACACUAACCCUGAGAUUUAAAAGUAAGCUGCGAUAAUGACUUCAGAAACUCAAAUUUCACCCUCGCGAAUACAACAGAAACAUCCCCUGUUACUCAAAAUGUCUACUUCACCGUUUUUAUGUGAUUAGGUAAGAAUUGGCUACUAUGUAUGUUAUGGUUAUGUUAUGGUCUGGGCAUAGAUGUUCAUUUAGGCUACGUUUACAUUGCUACGUUUUGGUUUAAAAACGAAUAUCGGCGCCGGGGUGGCACACCUGGUGGAGAAUAUAUAUAGGU